rnacentral:lncRNA from 1 species
CAUCAGGAUGUAUCGUGUAGUGCAUCUUCUCUUGACAUCUGCAUGCCCCUUCUGUGAAUGGAAGAAGCAUUUAUAAACUACCCUACCACCACCCACUUCAGGGCCACUGCUCUUCAUCCAAAGAGAUACUCUUUACAACAUGCAACUGCUGUGUCUGUCUGCUGAAUCUGGCUAAAAUUUGAAACACUGCAAGUCUGACAAGGCAUAUUGACUUUAAUAAACGUGUGAUGCUUGCCAACUGGGCACAGACCCACAGAUACAUGUUGCCUUCAACCUUCAUCAAAUAAAUUCAUUUUGCAGAGAUCCACAACUGGCCAAAAUGCAGAGAACAAGUGACCAUGGGGUGCCCAGCCCUAACGGAUACAUCUACAACCCCACCCUUCAUGCUUAAGGCUCAGGGAACACCAUGGAAGAAUGAGAGGAAAGAUUCUGGAGCCAGAAGACCGGGGUACCUGCUGUGAGAUAGUGUCUUCCAGAUAGAACAGGGAUGCUGCUUUUAUGAAAUUCAAUAAUACGGUUGCCUAACAGGACCUGCAUAAUGAUAAUACCAGAUGACAUGCCAAUUAGAGUAGGGGAAAUCUCACAAGGCCCCACCCAUAGAUA